UCCGGGGUCACCGCCGGCCGGACCUGAGGGACGCCGCGGCCAAAACACUCUCCCCGUGGCCUUGUGGCCCUGCGCUUGUGAUUGCUUGCUUUCCUCGAGAAACAUCACGUGUUGGGAGGGCGUUUUAUCCGCGGUCAUAAUGACGGCGCCUGAAGUGCGCAUGGUGCUUUACGAAGACGACUCGGUGCAAGUGCACUACGUGGACGGUUCCAGGCUGCAGCUCUCUCCCUGUGGCUCCGAAUUUUUAUUUGAAAAGGCCCCUCCUGUUUCAGCGCAUCCUUUGGAACAACCGGAAAGAAUUCGCCAGAGGACACACUUUGUUAUUAGCACUUACCGAGAGCAACUACAGCGAGCCCUUGAUUUUCGAAACUGUUUUGCCACUUGCCCUUUUUUGUCUGAAAGCAUUAUACCUUCUGAAAGAAAAAAGCGCAUCCUCAUAGACGUCUCAGAAGUAAGGUGGCCCAGCCUGGAGACUGAUGACGGCAUAAUGGUCAUGCAGAGUGGCACCGUGAAGAUAGCGUCUUUAGACGGUCAUGCAUACCUUUGCCUGCCCAAGUCUCAGCAGGAAUUUUCAGUACAUUUUUUGUGUAAAGUAAGCCAGAAGCCAGACUCAUCUAUAGUAUUGUCAGAAAAAAAUAGUCAAGCCAAAAAAGAGCAACUAGUUGAAAAAGCAGGCAAGACCCUUACAUACAGAAGUUUACAGGAACAGAGACUGAAAAAUAAAGAAAAUGAACUUCGCUGUCAGAUCGUGAAGUCCAGAGCGCCCUCAGAGAAGCACUGUGCAAGUGGAACUGAGGGCCAGGAGGUGCUGCCUUCGCCCGGUACGAAGCACAGCUGUGUCCACGUGUGGGUAGAGCAGCGCUGGUCCGUGGCCUCCUGUCCGGAGGAAUGGAAACACCCUCUGUCUUUAGCACUUCGCUUUCAUAAUAAAAUCAGCAGUAUGUCUGGAACUGAUGUAAACAUCACCCAGAAUACAAUGUUAACUUCUGCUGUUUCAGAAGAAACAGGGAAAGAGGUUUCUGUCCUUCCCAGGGCCUUGCUCCUCAGCUGUCCUGUCCCACACCUGCACAGGUGGGAUUUUUGCGAUUCAUUGUCACAGGGACCAUCUGAGGGAGAAUAUUCCUCCCCUGAACUAGUGAAGGUGGUGUGGUACAAGGGUGUCACAUACAGACUUACCCAUAAAAAUGUGAACUCAAUAGAGAUUUAUCCCGGAGAUGGAUCUGUUUUCAAAUCAGAAGGAGCUUAUUUUGGGAACUAUUUUACAUACUAUUCCAUUCAAGAAGGAUCAGGAGAGAGGGAAGAGAAAAUGUAUUCCGUAAAUAACCUUCCUCCAGAUACACCAGGAAGUCCGUUCUCUGUGAGUUUUCUAAUUAAACAGGCCACCAGGAUUCUUCAGCAUUGUGCCAAGAUGAGGCUUUCUUUAAGCCAUAACUAUCGUAUAUGCUGCUGGAAAAUGGUUCCUGGGAUUAAUGAUAAUAUGCUGCCUUUGCUUUUGAGAGAAUCGUUCAUACCCAGCGUGGGAAGAUUUCUUGCAUAUUCUGAUGACAAAGUACAUGUUAUCUUUAUAGAUGGCGUUACUCUAACCCUAAAUUGGAAUUUUGGUUCUUUUACUGAAAAGAGACAGGUAAAUCAAGGUCUCAGCUUAGGUUGGUGUAAGAUAACUUUUCCCGAUGGACAUGAUCAAUUAAUUCAGAUUGAACACUCCGGACCAUAUGAAAGAUAUGUGUCAACAGUAAUAUCAUGGUGCAGAAGACUGACCCAGGCUAGUCAGAGAGAGAUGCCCACACAUCUGUCAUCUUCUGUUCUUGAAGAAAAUUGGUGUGUGGCUGCUGAACUUGAAAAGAUACAGAAGUUUAAUUUGUUACUGGAGAGCAGUGGUGUCCUAAACCAGAUUUCUAAUAAGCAGAAUGAACAGUCUUCUGAUUGCAAACCAAACUAUUCAGGAACCUUGCCAGAAGAAGUUAAUGAAAAGAGAGUAUCAGUGGCAUUGAAAAAAACCUCUGAAAUUAUUCAGGAUAUUGACUGUCUUCUAUCAAACUCUAAAAGGUGAAAAAUGAAAUUAUUACAUGUUAUUAAAUCUUAAGGUUGUUGUUUCAAAUGACUGGUAUUAAAAUUACCAGAAAGCCAAAGAAUUGUAUAUAUGACUUCUGUACAAUAACUAUGAGAAGUGAUAUUGAACUUCAGAUGUAUUUUACCUAACCUGUAAAUUUAAAAAUAUAUAUUUGUAAAACACUUUUAUUAAUAAAGAACUAUUUCAAGAUUUU